rnacentral:rRNA from 1 species
UACGAAGGGUGCAAGCGUUAAUCGGAAUUACUGGGCGUAAAGCGUGCGUAGGCGGUUAUUUAAGUCUGUUGUGAAAUCCCCGGGCUCAACCUGGGGAUGGCAAUGGAUACUGGAUAGCUAGAGUGUGAUAGAGGAUGGUGGAAUUCCCGGUGUAGCGGUGAAAUGCGUAGAGAUCGGGAGGAACAUCAGUGGCGAAGGCGGCCAUCUGGAUCAACACUGACGCUGAGGCACGAAAGCGUGGGGAGCAAACAGG